CCUUUCCCUUUCUCCUCUUCCUUUCUUUCCUUCUCGGUCAGCAGCCCGACUCCCUUCCCUUCUCCCCUUUCAUCUUCUUCUCUUCGUCUCCAUCACACACGCACCCGAGAUAUACAGUGAGGCCGUGAGAGAGACGAUGCCACGAGAGAGAGAACCGGAGAGAUGGAUCCGUGCGACUCGUGAGGCAGGGAGAGAGAUCAGAGGCCUGAUCCUCACUGGGUCAGCGCCGGUGGAGACUAAGGAGAAGAUUUCUGGCGACUUUCAGCCCGAUUUUCCGAUGGGUUUCCGGUGGGUCGUCGAUGGGUGCGGAAUCUGGUUAAAUCAGAGGCAAUUCCGGCGGUUAAAAGCACAUUCCGGCAUCUGAGUAAGGAUAGUGUUCAGAUUGGAGACUUCAAUGGGUUCUCUAAUGUAGAGUCCGAGUCAUGAGUCCAAUGCAGCCAAGAUGAUGUUCAUUUGGCUACAGGUACUUCGGUCGUAGUCGAUGGUGUUAUAGAUGUGCACUUGAGAUAUUAUGACCGAAGCUCGCCGCGACGGUCGUAAUUGUGGGAUCAUGGGUGUCCUCUGUUUUAUGGAGUUUUGUUUAUGGUGUGUGUUAUGUUAUGUAUGUAUUUAAUUUGGUGAAAGACUUAAUUAGAUAGAUGUAAUAUUGGCUCUUGAUUAUAAUUAAUUUGUGAUAGAUGUUUAAGAUGUGAUUUUCGCUAUUAGGUUUAUGUUUUUGCUGCAUAGUAGAUAUAUGUUAUACUCUGAUUUACUAAGUACAUAUUAUGGGGUAUGUACAUGUUGGCUCUGCGACAUAUCGUCGUGCUACUGUGAAGAUCCGUUUAUAUUUUAAGAGAUUAAUAUUCCUGUAAAUGUUUUUGUAUAUAUUAAAAAAAAAAAAAAAAAAAAAAAAAAAAAAAAAACGGGUCGUCACACGUGACAUAACAAUGUGACAAAGUUACCGCCUCCAAAAUUGUUUUCAUUACCUUGAACAUGUCAAAUUUUUCAAAAAUACCAACACAAAUAUCAGAUUCUUCAACCAGUGAAGUAGUGGGCAAUCUUUCAGAUGAUUUCCCUCUAACACCUUCUCUCAGACCUAUGAGAUCCUUUUGUGGUUCUUGAGAUUCUAGUGUGCCAAGUAUCUCUAAAGAUGGGAAUCACCUAGAUGGAAAAUUAGGGAAAUAUGAACAGUUAUCUUCUUGGGAAUCUUUCAAAUUACAAAUUUAAUUACUUGUCUUUUUUCUUUUUGGUCGACACUCUGGGUUAGGAGUGUAAACGAGCCGAUCUUGAGCUGGUAUUGCCUGUUCUGGCUCGGCUCGUUUAACAAACAAUAAAGCUCGAGCUCGACAUGAGCUGGAAAAUCUUGUGCGAGCCGAGCUCGAGCUAGGCCAUUUUGGUCGAUCCCGAGCUCAAGUACUCGACUUGAGCUCGGCUCGUAUCAAAAUUCAAAUUAUUGACUUUAGCAAAAAAAAAUAAAAAAAAUAAAUAAAUAAACCACAAAAUUUUAAAUAAUGUACACCUGCACAUAUUAAGAUUUUGCAAUAAGGCAAACAAUAAAGUAAUUGCCAAUGAGUCUAGAAUCCGAAUUACAAUUAUCUAUGAAUCUAUAAUAAGUAAUUAAGUAUG